rnacentral:rRNA from 1 species
UACGUAGGGUGCAAGCGUUAUCCGGAAUUAUUGGGCGUAAAGAGCUCGUAGGCGGUUUGUCGCGCCUGCUGUGAAAACUGGAGGCUCAACCUCCAGCCUGCAGUGGGUACGGGCAGACUAGAGUGCGGUAGGGGAGAUUGGAAUUCCUGGUGUAGCGGUGGAAUGCGCAGAUAUCAGGAGGAACACCGAUGGCGAAGGCAGGUCUCUGGGCAUUAACUGACGCUGAGGAGCGAAAGCAUGGGGAGCGAACAGG